rnacentral:lncRNA from 1 species
UAAAUAAAGAAACCUACUUAAUUGAACGUGCAACAGGUUCAAAGCCUUUGCAUUUGAGUGGCCGGAGAAGAGCACAGCUCCUGUAUUGCAGAGAGAAGAGUCUGCACUGUGUGAAUUUGCAAGGCUGCUGUGUGUUAGUGGCUUUCUCUUCUCUUUCUCUCUCUUUUCACUGUUCAUCUGUACUCUUCUCUCUCUCUCUCUAUUUCUUUCUUUAUUACUCUCUCUCUCUCUCUUUCUCUCUCUCUCUCUCUCUCUCUCUCUCUCUCUCUCUCUCUCUCUCUCUCUCUCUCUCUCUCUCUCUCUCUCUCUCCCUACUUCCAUUCCUCUCCCUCUAUUCCUCCCUUGUUCCUCUCCCCGUCUCCCUCCCCCAUGGCCCGCUGGAUGGCCCUCCUUCUUAUCCUGGCACUCCUUGGCACUCAAACCAUCGGCUACAGCUUACAGGGUGGUCUAACAAGCGGGCAAGACUGGUACCGCUAUGACAACGCGAGAGGCAAUUGGCAACGUAACAGGGUCCUGAAAAAAUUGUUGGACCUGCAGUGUCCAGAAUGUUUCAUACGUAUUGAAAGGACAUGCAUGAAGAAAUUCCUUUGUACCUAGCCUGUGUCCAAACGGCCCUCGAUCCCUCGACCCCCUGGAAUCCGUUUUGAGUGAGAUCCUUCGAUAAAUCUUCAAAUUGAGAAGAAAAGAGGAAGAUGAAGGAGGAUUGGGUCACGCGUUUCCAGUUAGCGAAUCACAGGAGAAGGAAAAGGAUUGUCGACGAUCAGAAGAUUGGCGGUGAUUCCAAUCGGUGAUUGGAAAUGAUUCGUAUAUUGAUAUUCGGGGGGGGGGGGAGAAUAACCAAGUGAUUGGUAACUGUCUUGAGUCUGGAAAUUCAUUAAUUCAUAAAUUCAUUGGCGACUGUCUCCAAACUGAAAAAUAAAAUUAAAAAUAGAAAUGGAGUUUUGACAAGUGUCACCCAUCUGGAAAUUCAUGGUAAAAAAAAAAAAAAAAAAAAAAAAAAAAAAAAAACAUGGUACUGGACACUUGAUUCAAAUCCGCAAAUAAAUAGCAUCACCCGAUUCCAAUCUCCCAACCGAUCUAUUUAGUGCAUUAUGAUUUUCAAAGACUAUAUAUAUCCAAUGCAAUGUCAAAAAUAUUCGAAAUGGUCGAAAUCCCAAUUCAAGAUUUAAUUCAUCAAUGUCUACCAUCUUUUUAGUUUAUAUUAUGUCUAUCUGUAUUCAAAAUCGCUGAUUAAUUAUUAACCACUUAUCAUAUUUCGCUUAAUACCUAUACAAAAAUGUGAAAUUGCAAGAUUUCAGAACCACUGUAUCAGCAUAACAAUUAUAAAAAAAAAUAUUACUAAAAAUAUCAUAUUUAUCAUAUUUAUGAGAAUUCAUGCUAUACUUUCAUAAACAUGACAUAAGCAAGUUCGAAACUUAACUGAAUUGGCACCGCUGUUUCAUCGGACGGUAAUUAUCUAUAAUCUCAUUAAUUCCUAAUUGAAUACCUAAUUAAAGAGCUAUAGUGAA